rnacentral:rRNA from 1 species
UUUAGUCAGGCAACGAGCGAGACCCACGCCCACAGUUGCCAGCGUACUCUCCGGAGUGACGGGUACACUGUGGGGACCGCCGCUGCUAAAGCGGAGGAAGGAAUGGGCAACGGUAGGUCAGUAUGCCCCGAAUAUCCCGGGCUACACGCGAGCUACAAUGGUUAGUACAAUGGGUAUCUACCCCGAAAGGGGAUGGAAAUCUCCUAAAGCCAAUCUUAGUUCGGAUUGAGGGCUGCAACUCGCCCUCAUGAAGCUGGAAUCCGUAGUAAUCGCGUUUCAACAGAACGCGGUGAAUACGUCCCUGCUCCUUGCACA